UAGGGAAUCUUCCGCAAUGGGCGAAAGCCUGACGGAGCAACGCCGCGUGAGUGAAGAAGGUCUUCGGAUCGUAAAACUCUGUUAUUAGGGAAGAACAAAUGUGUAAGUAACUAUGCACGUCUUGACGGUACCUAAUCAGAAAGCCACGGCUAACUACGUGCCAGCAGCCGCGGUAAUACGUAGGUGGCAAGCGUUAUCCGGAAUUAUUGGGCGUAAAGCGCGCGUAGGCGGUUUUUUAAGUCUGAUGUGAAAGCCCACGGCUCAACCGUGGAGGGUCAUUGGAAACUGGAAAACUUGAGUGCAGAAGAGGAAAGUGGAAUUCCAUGUGUAGCGGUGAGAUGCGCAGAGAUAUGGAGGAACACCAGUGGCGAAGGCGACUUUCUGGUCUGUAACUGACGCUGAUGUGCGAAAGCGUGGGGAUCAAACA
rnacentral:rRNA from 1 species